rnacentral:rRNA from 1 species
UACGUAGGGGGCAAGCGUUAUCCGGAUUUACUGGGUGUAAAGGGAGCGUAGACGGCGAGUCAAGUCUGAUGUGAAAGGUGGGGGCUCAACCCCCAAACUGCAUUGGAAACUGGUUUGCUAGAGUGUCGGAGAGGUAAGUGGAAUUCCUAGUGUAGCGGUGAAAUGCGUAGAUAUUAGGAGGAACACCAGUGGCGAAGGCGGCUUACUGGACGAUCACUGACGUUGAGGCUCGAAAGCGUGGGGAGCAAAC